rnacentral:rRNA from 1 species
UAGAACGCUGAAGAGAGGAGCUUGCUCUUCUUGGAUGAGUUGCGAACGGGUGAGUAACGCGUAGGUAACCUGCCUUGUAGCGGGGGAUAACUAUUGGAAACGAUAGCUAAUACCGCAUAACAAUGGAUGACACAUGUCAUUUAUUUGAAAGGGGCAAUUGCUCCACUACAAGAUGGACCUGCGUUGUAUUAGCUAGUAGGUGAGGUAACGGCUCACCUAGGCGACGAUACAUAGCCGACCUGAGAGGGUGAUCGGCCACACUGGGACUGAGACACGGCCCAGACUCCUACGGGAGGCAGCAGUAGGGAAUCUUCGGCAAUGGGGGCAACCCUGACCGAGCAACGCCGCGUGAGUGAAGAAGGUUUUCGGAUCGUAAAGCUCUGUUGUAAGUCAAGAACGAGUGUGAGAGUGGAAAGUUCACACUGUGACGGUAGCUUACCAGAAAGGGACGGCUAACUACGUGCCAGCAGCCGCGGUAAUACGUAGGUCCCGAGCGUUGUCCGGAUUUAUUGGGCGUAAAGCGAGCGCAGGCGGUUUGAUAAGUCUGAAGUUAAAGGCUGUGGCUCAACCAUAGUUCGCUUUGGAAACUGUCAAACUUGAGUGCAGAAGGGGAGAGUGGAAUUCCAUGUGUAGCGGUGAAAUGCGUAGAUAUAUGGAGGAACACCGGUGGCGAAAGCGGCUCUCUGGU